UGGCACGAGGAGAAGAAGACAAAACGACCGGUGAUUUAGAACAGAUGGAAACAAAAGAACAAGCCAUCAGUGAAUUAGCACCAGUCUUCAGUCAAAUGGCACGAGGAGAAGAAGACAAAACGACCAGUGAGUUAGAACAGAUGGCAAGUGAACAACAAGCCAUCAGUGAAAACCUGAAGAGUCAAAUGGCACGAGGAGAAGAAG